rnacentral:tRNA from 1 species
GAAAUAUAGAAAAAAGAAUAAGCUUCUAACUUAAUUCAAUAGCAGUGAAACUCUGUUAAUAUUUCU